GACGAACGCUGGCGGCGUGCUUAACACAUGCAAGUCGAGCGGUAAGGCUCCUUCGGGAGUACACGAGCGGCGAACGGGUGAGUAACACGUGAGUAAUCUGCCCUUCACUUCGGGAUAACCACCGGAAACGGUGGCUAAUACCGAAUACGACCAGUCUUCGCAUGAGGUGCUGGUGGAAAGUCUUUUCGGUGAAGGAUGUGCUCGCGGCCUAUCAGCUUGUUGGUGGGGUAAUGGCCUACCAAGGCUUCGACGGGUAGCCGGCCUGAGAGGGUGACCGGUCACACUGGGACUGAGACACGGCCCAGACUCCUACGGGAGGCAGCAGUGGGGAAUAUUGGACAAUGGGCGAAAGCCUGAUCCAGCAACGCCGCGUGAGGGAUGACGGCCUUCGGGUUGUAAACCUCUUUCAGUACCGACGAAGCGCCCUGUCGGGUGGUGACGGUAGGUACAGAAGAAGGACCGGCCAACUACGUG
rnacentral:rRNA from 1 species